GUUUCGCGGUCAAGCGGUAAGGACAUUUGCCUCUCACCCUGGAGUCCUGGGUUCGAUUCCCAGCCGAGAAGCU